CUGAGAAACAUGCAUUUCCCAUUAAUAAAAAUGCCCCAUGAAGACAAGUUCAAGUAUUUUAGACUCUGAUAUUCUCAAGUGUAAGUAGAGUAGGCUAUGAACAGAGUGUAUAGGUCUUAUCAGCAGUAAUGUGUGAACUGCUUGCGGGUCUGUUUUGGUGAAGAAAGUCAAGGCUCUCAAUUACUGGUAUUGUCCAUUUUGAACCUCCCCUACGGUCACGCAACAAAUGCCUAUAGAGAUGACAGAUGACGUCACCAUCCAGGGGGAGCUCAGAGUAAAGGUGCUCCUCCUCCAGAUCAAGGGGACUUGAUGUGGUUUUGUUUGGCAUCUGAUCAAGAUGGCCUCUGGGCGACUCCAAAGGCCCUUCCCACUGGGUAAACCUGGAAAGCUCUCCAGAAUGAGAUGUAGACUGUUGGUGGGAAGAAAAACGUCUGGGUUUCCCCUGUGCCUUGAAGAUGAAGAUGGAUGGAUGGAUGGAUGGAUGAGAAGAUUUUGGUUAAAGUCAACUCUAAACGGAUGCCGACGGUUCCUGUCAUUCCAGAACAUCACAUGAAGGAACUCGUGGUCGACACCUGACGUCUCCUAAUGUCGCCCCUUAUACCAUCC